UACAGAGGGUGCAAGCGUUAAUCGGAAUUACUGGGCGUAAAGCGCACGUAGGCGGUUGGUUAAGUUGGAUGUGAAAGCCCCGGGCUCAACCUGGGAAUUGCAUUUGAAACUGGGAAACUAGAGUGUGUGAGAGGGGGGUAGAAUUCCAAGUGUAGCGGUGAAAUGCGUAGAGAUUUGGAGGAAUACCAGUGGCGAAGGCGGCCCCCUGGCACAACACUGACGCUCAGGUGCGAAAGCGUGGGGAGCAAACAGG
rnacentral:rRNA from 1 species